UACGUAGGGGGCAAGCGUUGUCCGGAUUUAUUGGGCGUAAAGAGCGUGUAGGCGGCCGUACAGGUCAGCUGUGAAACUCGAGGCUCAACCUCGAGACGUCGGUUGAAACCGUACGGCUAGAGUCCGGAAGAGGAGAGUGGAAUUCCCGGUGUAGCGGUGAAAUGCGCAGAUAUCAGGAGGAACACCAAUGGCGAAGGCAGCUCACUGGGACGGUAUUGACGCUGGAGAACGCGAAAGCGUGGGGAGCAAACAGG
rnacentral:rRNA from 1 species